UGACAAUGUAUGCCUUGGUAAACAAGGGUCAAUCAUUUUCUUAUGAAUAACACCAACAUGAAGAUUGCUAAUGCCAUCCUACAUGGGGCAAUACUGAACACUACACCAUUUUCGCCCUUGGAAAAGUACUUGUGGACAGACAUGUUUCCAUGGCUCGGUCUGCUUUGUUUGGUUGCAGUUGAUGACCUGCUCCUUCAUCUGCUAUGAUACACCUCAUGUUUAGUUGUUUUCAUCUGUAAAACUGGAAGUGGAAAAGUAUUGCUUAGGUGUGGAGAAGAAAUAGAACUUAUUACAACACCAGGAAUCACAUGAACAGUGGGUUCAACUGGGUGCAAAUCCUGACAAUAAAAGACAGCUCUGGACAACUCUCUGAUGCAAUAGGGAGAAGAGGGGAAGAGAGCUACAGUAUUUGAAAAUGUGCCUGAAGCAAGAACAGAGCUGGAUACUCUAUUACAGACAUCUACAAUAUACACAUGAGUCUCACAAUGGAAGUCUAAGAAGCUGCAGUGUCAGAUACCUGAUUGAAUGGAGCAUCUUCAAUGAUCUCAGAGUGAUGACCCCAGGUUUGUUCUACUAGGUAAUCUGAACUCAGGACUUUGCUUUUUCUUCAUGAAGCUUUGCCCCACAUAGAACAAGAAAUGAGGGCUUAAGGGGACCUGGAUUCUUCCUAAGGCAUUGCAUAUGCUUGGGAACAAGGCUAUCUUUUCUCUGUGGCAGAGCCAGUCAGAGGCCAGAACCACAGUGCUGCUAUUAGACCUCUGUAGAGAUGGCAGCAUUUGUAUAAAUGCCUUGGUUUUACUGAAACAUUUCACAUGCUUUUUAGAAAUUAUUAAAUAAAUCACUCAGAUUUCUUUUUUUU